rnacentral:miRNA from 1 species
CUUUGCGUGGCCCCUUGUUCU